rnacentral:rRNA from 1 species
UACGGGGGGGGUAAGCGUUGUUCGGAAUUACUGGGCGUAAAGGGCUCGUAGGCGGCCAACUAAGUCAGACGUGAAAUCCCUCAGCUUAACUGGGGAACUGCGUCUGAUACUGGAUGGCUUGGAUUUGGGAGAGGGAUGCGGAAUUCCACGUGUAGCGGUGAAAUGCGUAGAGAUGUGGAGGAACACCGAUGGCGAAGGCAGCCUUCUGGGCCAACACUGACGCUCAUGCACGAAAGCGUGGGGAGCAAACAGG